rnacentral:rRNA from 1 species
GAAUUGCAGAAUUCAGUGAAUCAUCGAAUCUUUGAACGCACCUUGCGCCCCUUGGUAUUCCGAGGGGCACGCCUGUUCGAGUGUCGUGA